rnacentral:rRNA from 1 species
AUCGAACGCUGGCGGCAGGCCUAACACAUGCAAGUCGAGCGGAUGAAGGGAGCUUGCUCCUGGAUUCAGCGGCGGACGGGUGAGUAAUGCCUAGGAAUCUGCCUGGUAGUGGGGGAUAACGUCCGGAAACGGGCGCUAAUACCGCAUACGUCCUGAGGGAGAAAGUGGGGGAUCUUCGGACCUCACGCUAUCAGAUGAGCCUAGGUCGGAUUAGCUAGUUGGUGGGGUAAAGGCCUACCAAGGCGACGAUCCGUAACCGGUCUGAGAGGAUGAUCAGUCACACUGGAACUGAGACACGGUCCAGACUCCUACGGGAGGCAGCAGUGGGGAAUAUUGGACAAUGGGCGAAAGCCUGAUCCAGCCAUGCCGCGUGUGUGAAGAAGGUCUUCGGAUUGUAAAGCACUUUAAGUUGGGAGGAAGGGCAGUAAGUUAAUACCUUGCUGUUUUGACGUUACCAACAGAAUAAGCACCGGCUAACUUCGUG